rnacentral:rRNA from 1 species
UACGUAGGUGGCAAGCGUUGUCCGGAUUUACUGGGCGUAAAGAGCGCGCAGGCGGUCGUUCAAGUCGCGUGUGAAAGCCCCCGGCUCAACUGGGGAGGGUCACGCGAUACUGAUCGACUCGAAGGCAGGAGAGGGUAAUGGAAUUCCCGGUGUAGUGGUGAAAUGCGUAGAUAUCGGGAGGAACACCAGUGGCGAAGGCGACUACCUGGCCUGUUUCUUGACGCUGAGGCGCGAAAGCUAGGGGAGCAAACGGG